CCUACGGGAGGCAGCAGUGGGGAAUAUUGCACAAUGGGGGAAACCCUGAUGCAGCGACGCCGCGUGAGUGAAGAAGUAAUUCGUUAUGUAAAGCUCUAUCAGCAGGGAAGAAAAUUACGGUACCUGAGUAAGACGCCCCGGCUAACUACGUUCCAGCCGCCGCGGUAAUACGUAGGGGGCAAGCGUUAUCCGGAUUUACUGGGUGUAAAGUGAGCGUAGACGGCAGUGCAAGUCUGGAGUGAAAGGCGGGGGCUCAACCCCCGGACUGCUCUGGAAACUGUACGGCUGGAGUGCAGGAGAGGUAAGUGGAAUUCCUAGUGUAGCGGUGAAAUGCGUAGAUAUUAGGAGGAACACCAGUGGCGAAGGCGGCUUACUGGACUGUAACUGACGUUGAGGCUCGAAAGCGUGGGGAGCAAACAGGAUUAGAUACCCUUGUAGUC
rnacentral:rRNA from 1 species